ACCUUAUAGACCAACUAAGUUUGUUCUGGUAUAAGCUUUCGUGUGCUGAAUCUGAAGAAGUGUGCAUGCACACAAAAGCUUAUACCAGAACAAACUUAGCUGGUGUAUAAGGU